CGAAGGGGGCGAGCGUUAUUCGGAAUCACUGGGCGUAAAGCGUGCGUAGGCUGUUUUGUAAGUCAGAAGUGAAAGCCCAGGGCUUAACCCCUGGAAUUGCUUUUGAAACUACAAGACUCGAAUUCGGGAGAGGAUAGCGGAAUUGGUCAGUGUAGCAGUGAAAUGCGUAGAUAUUGACAGGAACACCAGUGGCGAAAGCGGCUAUCUGGACCGACAUUGACGCUGAGGCACGAAAGCGUGGGAGCAAACAGGAUU
rnacentral:rRNA from 1 species